GGACUACCCGGGUUUCUAAUCCUGUUUGAUCCCCACGCUGUCGUGCAUGAGCGUCAGAAACGAGCCAGUGAGCCGCCUUCGCCACCGGUGUUCUUCCCAAUAUCUACGAAUUUCACCUCUACACUGGGAAUUCCACUCACCUCUCUCGUCCUCGAGCUUCACAGUUUCAAUGGCAGUUCCGGAGUUGAGCUCCGGGCUUUCACCACUGACUUGGGAAGCCGCCUGCGCACGCUUUACGCCCAGUAAUUCCGAACAACGCUAGCCCCCUUCGUAUUACCGCGGCGGCUGGCAC
rnacentral:rRNA from 2 species